UGUUUGUUGAGGGACGAUUUGGAACCAAUGAGGACUACCUCAGUUUUGUCACAGUUGAGUUUAAGGAAGUUUGAGGUGAACCAGGAUUUAAUUUCUUGAAGGCACGCACAGAGGGAGGAGGUGUUUGUAAGUUAUUUUAC